GGGCGGGCCGAGGCUGCUGACUCUGGAGGGCGGGCGCCGCUCCAGCCCAGGAGGGGCCCAGAGGCCGCCCGCCCCACCCCGGGCUGCACGCAAGGCCAACUUGACCGGGGUUCCCCAAAAAUCAUCCAGAACGUGGAAAUCGGCAAAGGGAGAGUGCCAUGUCCUAUAAUGUUUUGUGGCAGUAUUUGAUAACCGGCCUGGCCAAGGAUGACCUCAGUAUCUGGAGCAGGGUUUCUCGACCGAGCCCUGUUCGUAUUUCGGGAUAAUUCUUUGUUGGCGGGAGGGGGGCUGCCCUGUGCCCUGCAGGAUGUUUAGCAGCAUCCCUGGACCCAACCCACUAGAUGCCCAUUUCCAGAUGUUGCCAAGUGUCCCUCCCACCCCGGGAUCCACGGACUCAGAGGAUGUGCCUUUGUCUAACUCUGGCUGUUCUGUCGAGAGGCAACGAUUUCUGCCAGACAGAGAAGAUGAGCCCGGCAGCCACGGUUUUGCUGCCUGGAGGACGUCCGCCAGCCUGGCAUCUGACCCGCGCCCUGGUCCCUGUGGCUUCCCCCCAUAGUCCAUACCCUGCUCCUCUAACGGCUCUGAACCAGCUUUACCCUCCUUCUUAUUCUCGUACGAGUUGAAUUAAUCUUUGACAGUGCUCCUUCUAUACAUGAGUCGUGUUGUCACUUCUUGAAAACCGUACUUUGACCCAGAAUUGCUCUGAGGAUGAAGGGAGAUAAUGUAGCCAAGCCAUCAAUUUCUAGCUUGUGCCCGAUAAUUCGCAACUCUGAUCAUUGAUGUUGCUUUUCCACGGGGGUCCGCUCAGGCUGGCCAAGGGGAUGGUCUCCCGUAAUUUAAUCACGGGGUGCCCCUGGGAGCGGGGUUCCUGCAGACCGCAGGGAGCACGUGGGACUUCAAGGGGCAGAGCUGGCUUUGGGGGGUCUCGGUCUGGGCUGGGAACAGGGGCUCUGGGUUCUGGUCUUGGCUUCCAGCUGCCCUUGGACAUCUCGCUGCCCUCUUGGUGGUCCGGGUGGUGGCUUGGUGUCUAUUCCAUCCUCCUGCUUCUUUGACAAACAGUGCCCCUUUGUGACCUGCGUCCCCCAGCCUCCCUCUGCUGGGAGAAUUCUGGGGUGGGCUGGGUUGGGCACAGGCCCUCCACGUCUAUGGCAGGCUGCUCUCUUGGGUGAGGGAGCCCAGCCAAGGGGCCGGGGCUGGAUGCCCUGAGUGUUUCUUCUGGCCUGGGCAGGCAGCACCUCACAGUCAGGAGAAAGCAGGAUGGCAGGGAGGGACUGGGGACGUGCUCUCCUGGGCUCCCUGCCUCCCUCCCAUACCGCUCCGGUGCCCCCUGACCACCCCACCCCAGCCAGGCUGCCAUCACCCAACAUGAGGAAAGUGCUGUCACCAAACAUUCAGACUAGCAAAUCCACCUGCCCAGUGGACACGGGCACCUGGAUCUCGACAUGCCUGAAGUCCCUCCUCCACUCAGCCUGCUCCUCCCCCAGUGCUGCCCGUCUUGGUCCCCAUCUUACCAGGCCGAGGUUCAGAGUGUUGUUGUCAUCCUCCGGCAUGGGCAAGUACACGGCCAAGGCCACGCAGUUGGCAAAGAUGAGCUAAUGCAGACGGAGAGGGAGUCCAAGCCGCUGGCCCCAGCCUGGUGCCAUUGAGCUGAAAGCCCAGGGCCGCACCAGGGAGCCCUCCUGGCCAGCUUCUUCAGCCUCUUUCUCCUCCAUCUCCAUCCCCAGUUGGGAUUUGCCCCGGGGGGACGAGGGGAAGCCUUCCCCGGCUCACGAUGGGGAAUUUUCUUGCAAAGACCCCUCCUUUUUUCUCCCCCACCCCAUAUUAAAAUGACUCUCCUGCUUCAAAACCCGAGAGGCGCCCACCAUAAUGUGGAUUUGGACAUGGCUGGGAACAGCCCCGUGAAACAGCCUGGCCUCUUCCAUAGAUGGUCAGCAGGCACCUGGGGCUGUCACCAGGACUUGGGUCACACGCUUAGGCUCCAGAAGCCCCACGGGUCCCCUUCCAUGGAGGGCUUCCUCCCCAGA